rnacentral:lncRNA from 1 species
AACCGUUAUUUCCUAUUGGGCGUUGGACCCAACUAUUCCAAUUUGCAUACAUUUAAACAAAAAGGAAUACAUGAAAUAAUAAGAAGGGUUUAUGCCCUUUUACAACACAUAAGAUGGACUUAUGUCCAUUUACAACAAAUUGAAUUAAUCAAAUUACAUUCAAAUCUAAACUACUUAACCCAAACAUUCAUAAUGUAAAGCGGCCAAUCACAUAGCUCAAUUAUCGAGGCCUUUGGUUCAUAAUCACCCUUUUCUUAAUCAAUCACAUUAACUAAGAAAGCAACUUAAACAAUUGGUUUUCGGAUUCAUAGAAUUGAUUUAAAUGGAACUAAAUAAAAUGAAAAUCCAAUUCUCAUUUAAAGAGACAAAACUAUUUUGUUCUCAUCUUAUUUGGGCCAAAAACAAUGACCUCAACAAUUGGGCCAUUAUUUAAUAAACAAAAACUUUUGGGGCCACUUUGUAAAAACACAAGAGUCCACAACUUUAUGUAAUUACAACUAGAACCCAAAAUUUUAAUAAUGUAAAAACAUCAUUAAAGGAGCAAAACAAUUUGUCCUUUAGAGUUUUUGGGCCUUAACGUAAAAACGUAAACUUUUGGGCCAAAAUGCAAAUACACAAAAGUAUCAAAACUUUAUGUAAUUGCACAAAAGGCCCUAAAAUACCCUUUUCUAUAGGGUGGCCGGUUUUUGGAGAGAAGUCAAAAAAUUUUAAAAAGUUUUUGCAAGUUGAUUUUAGUAGGUGAGGUUAAAGGUGAUUAAGAUGGUUUGUAAGAGAUUUUUGUCUAACAUUAAGGGCACGUUUGUUUGACAGGAUUAAGAGGGCUUGGACUGGACUAGACUAUAGUCCGACGUUUGGUGUGCAUCCGGAUUAGCUUUAAUGAGCUUAACCCGAACUCGCUUGGACUAAGGACCUCCUUAGCCGUUCUUAACGAGCAACCCCAAAAUUGGGCGGAUUCGUAAGCCAGAGGAAACCGAGAGAUUUUCUGCCUUCCCUUCGUCCUGUCUUCCCUUCGUCCUCAUCUCUACGUUCCCUCAACGUCGUCGUUGCCGUGCUCUCUCAUCUUCGUCCUCCUCACCCUCAUCUGAGCGUCUUCCUGUCUCUGCAUCUGCUCGCCCUCAUCUGAGUUGUACGGUAAACUUCGAUUCUUCUAUUAAUUUCAUGUAUUUGUGUUGCAGAUGGUAAUUUUACUGAGCUUUAUUUCAUUUGAUUGUUUUGGGUUUGAUAAUUUUUGAAUCAUAGAGAUCUGCACUUGAAUAAAUUAGGGUUUUGAUAUUUAGGUGAAAUUGAAAUUAGAAUUUGGGCUUUUCAUAAGAUGAGAUGGAACUUGGGAAUUUAGGAUGUCAAAGUUGUAAAACUUGGAAGUCCUACCCACAUGUUGUUUUCGAUUUUUAAAAAUUGGGGUUUCAACAAUGAGAGUACUCUGUGCGUGUGUGUGUCUGCGUGUGUGUGUGUGUGUGUGUCUCUGUGUGUGUGUGUAAUUUAUGUGUAUGUCAUUACCAAAAAUCCUCGUCUCCAAGCAUACUCUCUCCAAGCACCUGUUUCACUGUAUGUUUAUAUCUGCCAAAUUAGGAUGAAUUGAUGAGUUAGUGCAGAAGAGUUUCCUCUUCUCGAUUUAGUGUUAAAGUCAUGUCAUUCACUAGAAGGCCUUUCACUGCCAAAUUAGGUUAAUCGAACAUAACUGGGCAUAGUUGUUUUGGUAUGCUUUAGCUCAUAUCGAAACAUUUGCGUUUCUUUAGCUUAACUUUUCUGGAUGAUGAGGUCAAUUAUUCUGUUUGCAUAUUCUAAUGUCACUGAGC